UACGUAGGGUGCGGGCGUUGUCCGGAAUUAUUGGGCGUAAAGGGCUCGUAGGCGGUUUGUCGCGUCGGGAGUGAAAACCCAGGGCUUAACCCUGGGCUGGCUUCCGAUACGGGCAGACUAGAGGUAUGCAGGGGAGAACGGAAUUCCUGGUGUAGCGGUGAAAUGCGCAGAUAUCAGGAGGAACACCGGUGGCGAAGGCGGUUCUCUGGGCAUUACCUGACGCUGAGGAGCGAAAGUGUGGGGAGCGAACAGG
rnacentral:rRNA from 1 species